rnacentral:rRNA from 1 species
GCCUAACACAUGCAAGUCGAGCGAGCACCUUCGGGUCUAGCGGCGGACGGGUUAGUAACGCGUGGGAACGUGCCCUUCUCUGCGGAAUAGCCACUGGAAACGGUGAGUAAUACCGCAUACGCCCUUCGGGGGAAAGAUUUAUCGGAGAAGGAUCGGCCCGCGUUAGAUUAGAUAGUUGGUGGGGUAACGGCCUACCAAGUCUACGAUCUAUAGCUGGUUUUAGAGGAUGAUCAGCAACACUGGGACUGAGACACGGCCCAGACUCCUACGGGAGGCAGCAGUGGGGAAUCUUAGACAAUGGGCGCAAGCCUGAUCUAGCCAUGCCGCGUGUGUGAUGAAGGUCUUAGGAUCGUAAAGCACUUUCGCCAGGGAUGAUAAUGACAGUACCUGGUAAAGAAACCCCGGCUAACUCCGUGCCAGCAGCCGCGGUAAUACGGAGGGGGUUAGCGUUGUUCGGAAUUACUGGGCGUAAAGCGUACGUAGGCGGAUCAGAAAGUUGGGGGUGAAAUCCCGGGGCUCAACCCCGGAACUGCCUCCAAAACUCCUGGUCUUGAGUUCGAGAGAGGUGAGUGGAAUUCCAAGUGUAGAGGUGAAAUUCGUAGAUAUUUGGAGGAACACCAGUGGCGAAGGCGGCUCACUGGCUCGAUACUGACGCUGAGGUACGAAAGUGUGGGGAGCAAACAGGAUUAGAUACCCUGGUAGUCCACACCGUAAACGAUGAAUGCCAGUCGUCGGGCAGUAUACUGUUCGGUGACACACCUAACGGAUUAAGCAUUCCGCCUGGGGAGUACGGUCGCAAGAUUAAAACUC